AUUGAACGCUGGCGGCAGGCUUAACACAUGCAAGUCGAGCGGAGUGAUGGUGCUUGCACUAUCACUUAGCGGCGGACGGGUGAGUAAUGCUUAGGAAUCUGCCUAUUAGUGGGGGACAACAUCUCGAAAGGGAUGCUAAUACCGCAUACGUCCUACGGGAGAAAGCAGGGGAUCACUUGUGACCUUGCGCUAAUAGAUGAGCCUAAGUCGGAUUAGCUAGUUGGUGGGGUAAAGGCCUACCAAGGCGACGAUCUGUAGCGGGUCUGAGAGGAUGAUCCGCCACACUGGGACUGAGACACGGCCCAGACUCCUACGGGAGGCAGCAGUGGGGAAUAUUGGACAAUGGGGGGAACCCUGAUCCAGCCAUGCCGCGUGUGUGAAGAAGGCCUUAUGGUUGUAAAGCACUUUAAGCGAGGAGGAGGCUCUUUUGGUUAAUACCCAAGAUGAGUGGACGUUACUCGCAGAAUAAGCACCGGCUAACUCUGUGCCAGCCGCCGCCGUAA
rnacentral:rRNA from 1 species